GUAUUGUAUUGCGUUAAACGCAGAUGCAUUCCAUGAGACUUUGCUACGGUGUGUGUGUAAAGACGUAGGACCACAGCAGGAGGACAGAGCCCCCCAGGCCAUAGAACUACAGAGGGUGCACAGGUGUGAGUGGAUGUGUAAACAGAGCGUGCACAUGCCCCCAUACAGGGACCAGCAACAACUCUUGUUGACAAUUCGGUAAUGAUCCUUCCGCAGGUUCACCUACGGAAA
rnacentral:misc_RNA from 1 species